AUGGCCAAGUACAACGUGGUGCAGAAGAGCAAGCGCGAGUCCAGCCAUGACCGCAAGCGCCGCGCCCAUGGGGAUCCCAACUCCGGCAAGCUCAAGCACCACAACGCGCCCAUCGCCAUAUCUGGCAAGCGCAAGCGCAAGCUCCUGCGCCGCCUCAACCGGGAUCAGAAGGAGGCUGCGAUGGUUAAGGCGCUGGAGAACAACAUGGGCGACGUCGACAUGGUGUCUGCUGAAGCAUCUUCGGAAACUGCAAAGGAUAAGUCUCAGAUGAAGUUUAAUGUGAAGAAAAACUCAAGAAUACAGAUCAAAAGAUUGAAAGGCAAAGGUAGAAAGAAAGCCAAAAAUGUGAAGCCGCCAACGAAGGAAAAAGCUGAUGCCAUGGUAGAGUGA
rnacentral:rRNA from 1 species